CUCCUCCAUCACCUCGACCUCCUCCGCCGCCACGGUCACCACCACCUCCAUGUCUGUGGCGUCCACCUACUGCGUUUGGAUAAGACGAUUGUUUCCCAGGUUACACACAGUUGAUGAAGCUCUCAUGUCAUCAGCUUUUGUUUGUAAAUUGUAAAACUUUAAAGUGCUUGUAUGUUAGCAGCAAAUACCAACUUUGUUUAGCUCUGAUAAUAAUUAAAUUUGUAAUGAUAAAAAUAAUAAUAUGUUAAAUAUAAAAAUGAAUAAAUGUAUGCAUCACUUUCACUUAAACACUCUUUAAGAAAUUGUUUAAUAAGUAUCCCUUGUCUUCCCUUCCCAUCUCUUUGAAGUCUCCCGACCAUCUCUAUAUGUAGCAUAAAUGAUGAGCAGCCCUCCAUCAACGAGGACCCGGGUCCUCAAAGGCCAACUCAAAAAAGCAUCUCAAUCUAAGAGAGGAGGGUAGCCUUUUCAGUGCAGUGCUUUCAGGGUUGAAUGAGCAUCGAGGUCUUUCGAGAUUGGGGUUUUCUCGUAGGAAAAAAAUGAAAAAAUCAUCUUGAUAAUAGUCCUUUUAUAGAUCGGGUGGACAAAGGAAUAGCAAGCCUUUGGAAGGAAGAAAAAGCUAACAUAUGGACGAAGAUCGGGUGAAUGAGAUAAUUCCCAGAUUCAUUUCAAAAACCUCGAGAUUAGCCUUGGCCGAACACAGGUAAACCGUCCAGACCCCACUCAAACCAUAGUCCCCUCAAAGGCCAACUCAAAAACAACAAUCUCUACGUCUAUGGAGCCUGGACUGCAGAAACUGAGAAACCUCCAAUUCCAAGCUCCCUGGUUCGGUGCAACUUGGACUUUCUGGGAAGGGCAUUAAAUACCCAACCAACAUAUUUAUUUUGGCCACUUCACUCUAGAGGGAUCAUGGGCCGAGUUUGUGCCGGGUUCAGAUAAAAUUUUAGGCCCGUUUUAUUAGCCCGGAUCUGACUCGGUCUGGCCCAAAAUAUAGAUAUAAAAAUUUAUUUAAACUUGGCCCGAAAAAAUUAUUAAGCCGAGCCUGACUCGGCCUAUAUUAAUUUUUUUAACUUAUUUCAUUAAAUAAAAAAUUUAAAACAAAUAUUAAAACAAAAAACAAAUAAAAAAUGAGACUAAAACAAUUCUUAAAACAAUACACAAAUUGAAAAUAUAAUAAAAAGUGAUUAUAUUAAAAUUGAAACAAAUUAGAACUAAAAUAAUAACUAAAUUAAUAAUAAAACAAAAGUAUAUUUGAUUAAAUAUAAAAUAUAUAUAUUUAAUAUAUAAUUCGUGCCAGGCCGGGCCGGGUCUGGCCCAAAAAAAUUUUACCUGAGGCUUAGCCCGUUUUCUAAACGGACCUCAUUUUUUUGGCAUAAACUUAUAUUUUGAAUAUAUAUUUUUAUCUAAAUCUUUUUAUUUUUCAAGUAGAUUAUCGGGCCAGGCUAAAUAACUUAACCCAUGAUCACCUCUACUCCACUUCAGUAAUCAUUUGACUGCAGCCAAACCAAUAUCAAGUUGAUGGGACUGGGGGUCAAAAUUCAUGCACCAAGCAAUCUACGCUGCUAGACCCAAGACCAUUCUUCAGCUUGAUGAGCCCAAUGACCAGAGCCAAUGCUCUACGACUAGCUCCAUGAAACCCAAAAUGCAGCAAGAGACUCAUUGUAACGCCCCACUUUUGUUGUGUUUAGAUUGUUAAAGUAUGUUAAAUAAUUUAAUCUGGUAUGUGGUUAAGCGUCUUAAAUGUUUGUUUUAGGUCUUGACUUUAAUUCUUUUAUUUUGGAUUUUUUAUUAAUUUUGAUGUUAUGUUAAGCUUGACGUUUUAGGCUUAUCUUUUUAUUUUAUUAGAUUGUUGAUAAGGAUGAGCUUAUUAAUCUAGUAAACCGUCCAUUAUUCUCUCACCCCCUUCCACCUUUUUUCUCCCUGUUAUUGUUUUCUAUUUGGUUCUUUCCUCUCUUUUUUCUUUUUUUCCUCUUUGAGCUUUUUUCUUUUCUUUUGCUUUGAAUCUCCGAUUUCGAUUAUAAUCCAAAGAUAACGUAAGUUUUGUUAAAUUAUUUUGUUGUUAUUUUGGUGUUAAUUCGUUGUGCAAGGGUGAAAUUAUUAGUUUAAUCCUUUUAAUAUAUUAUGAUAAAUAUUCUAUUGAUUCUCUUAUCAGAUUAAAGGGAUGUGAAUCGAAACCCUAAAAUUUUUGGACUAUUUAUUUUAUAAUUUUAAAUGAUAAAAAUAUUAUAUUUUUAUAAAGAUAUAUACUAUUCAAAUGAUGAAAUUAUAUUUUUAUUUUUAUAAAAAUUAAAUUUUAAUUUUAACAUUCUUAAAAAUAUUUUCUACCUUCCCCUCUUCCCUUACCGAUCAUAAACAUGGACAUCAAUCCUAAACAUGGACAUCAUAUGGCGAACAAAAUUUAUAUAAAUUUAAAAUUUUUUAAACACGGUUAUGUUUUUCUCCAGGUUUGUCCUAACCUCACUUGGCACCUUUUCCUCUUACAUAUCUUGAAAUAAGGGAUGUAAAAAAUAUGAAAAAAUUGCAACAAAUAGUUUUGAUAGUAUGCUCCGAGUGUAGCAUUUGGUGUCUGCUGGUUAUUAGUGUUUUCUUGUGUGUGUCGACUGUUGGUGUUUCUUAUGGAGGAAGGGUUAGCAGAUCUGCGUUUAACGGAGGAAGGAGACAAUAAGGAGUUGGAAGCUUGGGAGAUUGAACAGAAUAAGGAGAUAGAAGACUCUUUUUCGGAGUUGUGCUUGGUAGGGUGUUUUCUAACAGCAACUCUGAUAAAUUUUUAGGCUAUGCGGACUGUGAUGGCAAAUCUGUGGCAUUCUUUGGGGGGAGUUUCCAUUGCAGAUGUGGGUGAGAAAAGGUUUGUCUUUCAAUUUUAUUGUGAAAUGGAUUUUGAUAGGGUGGUGAAGGGCGCUCCUUGUACUUUUAACAACCAUUUACUUGUUUUUCAUCACUUAAAACAAGGCAAAGAUCCCUUGGAAGUGGAUUUAUUAUAUACCAAGUUCUGGGUUCAAAUUUAUAAUCUGCCACCUAGUUUCUUUACGGAAGCUAUUGCUAAAUAGUUUGGAGAUUUUAUUAGAGCCUUUGUGGAGUACGAUGUCAAAGCGAUUAUGGAGGGAUUAAGAAAUUAUAUGCGGAUUAGAGUUAAAGUUGAUAUCCGGCAAAGUCUGAAGAGAAGAAAGAAACUUAUUAUGGCAAAAAAAGAGUUCUUUACUAAUUUCAAAUAUGAAAGGUUGUCAACAUUUUGUUUUCUGUGUGGCAAGCUCGGACAUAGUGAGAAUUGUUGUCCUAUACGAAUGGUGACAGGGAGAAAGGAGCUUCCUCUUGAAUGGGAUAUCUCGCUCAAAGCUCCUCCACGUAGGGCGGCGACGGUAGGCAGUAUUUGGUUAAGGGAACCAACUGAAAUUUGGGGAGUGUAUCAGGGAAUUUCUAAAAAUGAUGAAGGCAAACAAGGAAAGAAUCUGGGGGAAUUAAAUCUAAUGAGGAAUAAUGGAACGAAUUUGGGGUUGAAUUUAUAUGAAAAAUCAAAACAGAUUGUGAAUGAGGAGUUGGUGUUGAUGGAAGUUGGGUCUACUAAAGAGGAUCGGCCCAUUAUUGGAGGAGAGAGGAAAAAGAGGCCUAGACCCAAUAAUAUUCAAAAUGCCUCUACCACCGAUGAUAUGAUAUGGAAAAAUGGGUUAAUGGAGGAUGUUAAUCAAAUCAACCAUACGGCUGAACUUGCAGGGCAGGUCAACCGAGCAUUAUGAAAAUAUUAAGUUGGAACGUCCGUGGGCUGGAGAACCCACGGUCUGUUCAGAAAAUUCAGCAUGUGCUGAAAAAGUACUGUCCCCAAGUUUGUUUUUUUAUGGAGACAAAAGUAGAGAAAUCGAGAAUGGAAAGGAUAAGAAAGAAAUUUGGUUUUGCGAAUGGGGUGGAUAUUUCAGCUCAAGGAUCACGAGGGGGUCUUUCUUUGAGUUGGUGUAGUUCGAUGGAUGUUACCAUCUCAAGUUAUUCUGGGAAUCACAUUGAUGCAGUUAUUGUUAAUAGUGAUGGGGCGACAAAGUGGAGACUAACAGGGUUCUACGGUAUUCCAGAUUAUCAGUGGAGAGAUAUUUCUUGGGACUUGCUAAAGCGGCUGAGCACGAACAAUGAAUUGCCUUUGGUUGUUGUAGGGAUUUUAAUGAGAUUUUAUUUAGUUCUGAGAAACAAGGAGGUCGAUUGAGGGAAGCAAGGCAAAUGGAGGCUUUUCGAUCAGCUUUGGAAGAUUGUGAGCUGGUGGAUAUAGGGUAUUGCGGCCGAUGGUACACGUAGGAAAAGGGGAAUUUUGAGGCAAAUAAUAUAAUAGAGCGGCUUAAUAGGGGAGUGGCUACUUUGGGUUGGACUGAGAUGUUUCCGUUCUCCCGGCUCCUUCACAUUGAUAAUUCAACUUCUGAUCAUUGUCCUCUGUUGUUGGAUACGGAAUUUUCAACAAGCAAUGGUAAUUCUUCAAAUUCAGGGUGUUUAUUUCGCUUUGAAACUGCUUGGUUGUUAGAAGAUUCUUGUCAUGAGUAGGUUAGAUCUUUGUGGGACUCCAAUAAAAAUGUGUCAGUGCCUGAAAGAUUAACACUGAUGGGUGAGGGGCUCCGAAGAUGGGCUAGCCAUUUAAAGAAUGAGAGGGGUGCGAAUAUGAAGAAGCUGUCAGACUAAUUAAAUAAACUGUCUGAGGAAGAUCCUUCAGAUGACAUUCUCGAGGCUAUGAUUAAGACUAGAUUAGAGCUGAAUCUCGAGAUUGAUAAGGAAUAGCUCUAUUGGGAGCAAAGGGCUAGAUUGAAUUGGUUAAGGUAUGAGGAUCGGAACACUAGUUUUUUCCAUAAUCUUGCCUCAAGCAGACGUCGUAAAAAUAAGAUCGCUAGGCUGAAGGACCAAAAUGGGUCCAUCAAAGAUACGGACGAAGAUCUUAUGCGAAUUGCAACCAGUUAUUUUAAAGGACGGUUUGCGAGUGAGGGAAGUAGAGGAGCUCAAAAAUUUUUUGAAGGGGUCCAAAAAAUGAUAACAAUUGAGAUGAAUAGGAUGUUGCUGGAUACUUUCCGGGAGGAUGAAGUUAGGAGGGUGGUCAAGAAGAUGGGGGGAAAUAAAGCUCCCAGUUUUGAUGGCUUCCAUGCAGUGUUUUUUCAAAUAUUUUGGGCGAUUGUAGGCAAGGAUGUUACAAGCUUUUGCCUUAGAGUACUUAAUAGAGAACAACAGCUGAAUGAGGUUAAUUUUACAACGAUUGUUUUAAUCCCUAAAGUCUCAACGCCAGAUUGUAUGACAGAUUUUCGGCCCAUAAACUUAUGUACGGUGCUUUAUAAAAUUAUAGCGAAAGUCAUUGCUAACAGAUUUAAGAGAGUGUUAGAUGGUUGUAUUGAUGAAGCUCAAUGAGCGUUUGUCCCUGGUCGGCUUAUUACGGAUAAUGUCCUUACGGCUUAUGAAAUUAUACACACUUUUAAGAAUAGAAGGAAAUGGAAGAAGGGUUUUUUUGCUUUAAAGCUUGAUAUGAGUAAAGCAUACGACAGAGUUGAAUGGGGAUUUGUCACAGGUAUGAUGAGGAGUAUGGGGUUUGAUGAUAAAUGGGUGGAGUUGAUAAAUCAUUGUAUUUCUUCGGUCUCUUAUGCUGUUACGAUUAACAGAAGCUUGAGUGAGCCUUUUCAACCGGAACAGGGACUCAGACAAGGGGAUCCGUUGAGUCCCUAUUUGUUUCUUAUUUGUACUGAAGGUUUUUCAACAUUACUUAAACUAGCCAAGAGGGAUGGUCUUAUUCAAGGCGCACGUGUUUGUCGGGGGGGCCGAGGGUAACUAAUUUGUUUUUCGCGGAUGAUUACAUUAUCUUUGGAGAAGCAAAUGAGGAUGGCUGUAGGAUAAUGAAGGGAUUUCUUGAUGACUAUGAGAAAGCUUCAGGUCAAAAGAUUAAUUUAGACAAGUCUCAAAUUUUCUUUAGUUCUAACUAUUCUGAAGAAACUAGAGAGCUGUUGACAAAUUAUUUGGGUGUUAGGUCCGUAACGAGCAUGGAAAAGUAUUUGGGUCUGCCUACAAUGGUGGGGAGGAAGAAGAAUAAGGCUUUCCAAAGAUUGUGUGAUAGGCUGAGAACAAGAAUUGAUGGGUGGGAAAGUCGAAUAUUGUCUCAAGGGGGCAAAGAUGUCUUCAUCAAAGCAGUAUUACAGGCCAUACCGAUUUUUUUAAUGUCUUGUUUUUUGCUUCCAAAGUCAUUAUGUGCUGAAAUGGAAAAGAUUAUGAAUCGAUUUUGGUGGGGAAAAGGAGGUAAUAGGCAUGGUUUGCACUGGUCCUGCUGGACUGAUUUAUGUCAGUCUAAAGAGAAUGGGGGUCUAGAGAGAUUACCUGCUGUUAGAGAGGUGGAUAUCGAUCGAUGGAAACCCCCACAAGCUUCAUGGGUAAAAUUGAAUUUUGAUGCAGCCUACAAAGUUCAAUCGAAUAAGUCCCGUUCGGGGUUCAUCAUUAGAAACGAGAAAGGGGAAGUUAUGGGUAGUGGGAUUACUCUUCACUCCAACGUUUUGGAUGCGGGUUUGGCUGAAGCUUUAGCUUGCUAUCAAGGUCUCCUCUUUGCCAAAGAAAUGGGGUUAACAAAAGUAGAGGUUGAAGGAGAUGCACGGGUAGUAAUUGAGAAAAUCAAUCAGGAAGAAAAUGGUAGAGCACAUUUGGACUCGAUUAUAGCAGACAUCAAAGCAUUUGAAAGGUUUUUUCAUCAGAUUAGCGUUAAACAUGUUAGAAGAGAGGUUAAUCGAGUGGCUCAUCUCAUUGCUAGGGAGGGUUACAGUAGAUUAGAAAAUACAUUUUGGAUGGAAGACAUUCCGGCGAUGGCGAAAGAGCUGGUGGCUACUGAAGAGACGAGCAACGUUUUGUAAUCGACAGAAGGUUUUGUUCAAGGGUGUUUGGACUGGGCUGAUAAAUUCAUUGAAAGCCAUGCUUUAGUCACUAGAGAGAUUUACAUGGUGGUCUGGAGCUUUGUUUUACCGGGUUUCCACUUUACUUUUUCUUUUCUAUUGUUGUUUUUUUCAGAUGUUUUUGGUUUCUUUAACUAUUUUGAUUGGGUUUUGUUAGGUUUUAAUGGAAAUCACGGUUUUUAAUCAAAAAAAUAUGAAAAAAUUGUUCUCUUCAAACUGCAUGCCGUUAAAUUUGGAAGUGCUUGAGGUUUCAUUACGUGUCCAACUGGAGGAAAUAAUAGCAUUAGAUUUUGAAUGGGACAGAAGAGGAAUGCCUACCAUGGAAUUUUGCCUUCUAAAAUUAAACAUACUUGUACUGGAAUGCCUACCUGAAUUGAAAAGUAUUUGCAAUGUUGAUGCAGUGGUGGUUUGUGAAUCCCUUAGAUGGAUUGAUAUAAUAGAUUGUCGGAAAUUAAAAAGAGUGCCUUUUAGUCUUCCCCAAAUCCGAUCAUCUUCACCAACUCUCAUUUUCUAUUUAUGUAGCGAUAGAGGAGUGGUGGAAAUCUGUGAGUUAAAUCCAAAUUCAUUGAACUUUUUGCAAACUAUUUCACUUACCUUUGCUAUUUUUAGCCAAUAAAAUUCUUAUAUAUAUGGUUGGAAGCCAAUGCAACUUUUGGAUAAAAGCCAAAUUUAUCCUUUAAAAGAUUUUUUUUUUGGAAGAUUCUAGAAUAUAAAAUAAAGAAAUAGGAUAUUAUCUAUAAGACUAGAUAUUAUAUAUGAAUAUUCUAGUUAUUAAAUAUUUGUAAAAUUAAUAGUAAGGAUAUUGACAUGUAUCAACAAUCCAACGGCCACUAAACUCUAUAAAUAGGGGUAAAGGCUUUCAUUCUUGUAAUGAUGUAAGAGAGAAGUGUGUAUCAUAUUAUAAUUGUAUUGUGUAUUAAUAAGAGUGUUUUCUUCUUUUGUAAUUGUAAGUCUCGGUUAACCCUUAAGUUUCUAAACACUUAGUGCACUUGGAUUAGCUUUUAUAUAUAGUGCACUAAUAACUUAAAAAAUAAAAGAUUAAUCGACUUCAGAAAUUUAGUGUAGCAUUAAUUGUAGGUCCAGCGAAAUAUCCUUAAAGACAGUAUCCAACACGUCUCUAGUUAUUCAACUUGUAUUUUUUAUUCUUUAAAUUGAAUAUUUACAAGAAUACAUACCAACACUUUUAAUUCUUUGAUUUAUAUUCAUAUAUAUUUAUAUCAUCCAUAUUUAUUCAUACAUUCAAAGUUGGGAGAGCUGUUGUGAUUUCAUGAGCUUGGAGUAUUAAUUUAAUCCCAACAAAACCUUAACAAAUCAUCAGCAAAUGAGAUUCAGUUACAACUGAUUGGAUGAUCAAAGAAUAAAAAUUGUUUCUAUAGUUACGCACUGUAUCGUGAAGAUUCGAGAAUUCUAAAGGAAUAAUUGAUAAGGGAUUAGAUUGGAAAGGGAUUAAUAGAGGAUGUGGGUAACAUGGAAGCAAACUUUGCCAAGUGUCAGACUAUCCUAAGAACAUUAGUUGAUAGUUGAUUGUUUGAAAAUGUAGGAAAUGGAAGAGUGAAAAUGCAUGAUUUUGUAAUAGAUAUGGCUAAACUAAUCACCAAUGAGGUAUAUGAAUCAUGAAUUAAUAUUGCAACUUUAACCUAUGUAUAAUCAAGCUCCAACAUUUAUAAUUUUUUAUUAACUAAAAUGAUGCAAUAAAUCAAAAACAAUCAAAACUUAAAAUAAUUCAAAUUUAAUAAAAAUCAAAAUUAAAAUUAACUUUGUUGAUAUGGUAAUGCAACUAGAAGACAUGGGGAAGGACAUGGUUGUGAUUAUGGAGGUUGGUUCAUCCAGUUGGGAUAGAGAGCCAAAUACUACAAAGAGUGAGAAUGAAGAGAUAUGCAAACAAAGUGUUGAGGGGAACUUUUUUCAUCGUUCUUAGAAGUAUUUAUUGACGGGGUCCUGCAACAGCCCGAUUUUGGGUUUAGUCGGAACAGUAAUUUCAGGACCACAAAUUCGACGAGAAAAAAUCUAAUCGCCUAAAUUUUCAGGGGUGUCGGAACGGUGAUUCGAGAUCACUGAAUCCGACAAGUAAGUAAAAAAUAUUAUUAAUUUAGUGAGUAUAAGUUAAAUGUGAAGUUAAGAAAUUUUUUGAAAUAGUGAAUAGUGCACUAGAAAUAAAUAUUAAAAUAAUUAGAAUAAAAAAUGAGGUAUCGAGACCUCAGAGAUUUUAAACCGAGCCAUAAAUGUUUAUAAAAAUAUUUAUGGAGUGUUAAAAAGUUAGUAUUAAAGUUUCGUUAAGAAAUUUUAAAGUUUCGAUAAUUAAUUGAACAAAAAGGACUAAAUUGUAACAAAUCCAAAAUUAUGGUAAAUGAUUAAAUAGCUUAAAUGAUAAAAGGAAGAGGGCUUAAAAGGAAAAUAGACUCAAUGUCUAUUUGGGCCGGACGGUAAAGGCAUGAAAUCAGCAAGAAUGUACGAAGAAUUAAGGGCAAAAUUGGAAUAUUGCAAAAUUACUUAAUAAAGCUAGGAUCAAAGUGGAAUUAUCGAGAUUUCUCUUUAUUUUUCUGCAUUCUCAUCAGCUAAAACAGCAUAGAAGGGUUUUCUUAAGCUGGUUUUUCAUAUUUUUACUGCAAGUAAGUUCAAUUCUUGAUUAUUUCUUGAAAUUUUUGUGUUUUUGUGACUUUUACAACUAGGCCCACUUGUUGAAUUCAUUAGAUUUUGAUUUUAUGAAAGAAGUUGAAAGUUGCUAUGAAUAUGUGCUGGAAGUAUAUGAUGAUUUAGAAUGGAAUUAGAGCUAUCCUCAGAACACUAGUAGAUAAUUGUUUGUUAGAAAAUGUAGGAAAUGAAAGAGUGAAAAUGCAUGAUCUUGUUAGAGAUAUGGCUAAACUUAUCACUCAUAAGUUGUAUGAAUCAUGAAUUAACAUUGCAACUUUAACACAUGUAUUGUUAAGCUCCAACAUUUAUAUUUUAGAUCAAUUAAAAUCAUACAAUAAAAAACAACCAAUCAAAAUUUAAAAUAAUUCAAAUUUAAUAAAAAUAAAACCCAAAAUUAACUUUAUUGAUAUAGAAAUACAAUAAAGAGGAGAUAUGGGAAAGGACAUGGUGGUGAUUUUGGAGGUUGAUUUACCCACUUGAGAGCGGAGAGCUAAGGACUGCAAAGAGUGAGAUUGAAGAGUGUAUAUAGGCAAAAUGUUGAGGGUAAGUUGAUAGAGUAUAUGUUUGUAUGUUUGGAGAGUCAAUCAUUUCUUCAUCGUUCUUGGGGGUAUUUAUUGGAGAGGGUCUUGUGAAGGUUGUUAACAUGCUAAAUUUGCCAUCUAACCAUCAUUACGGAACGUGUGGGGAGGAUGUCUAUGAUGGGAUGAGAAUGCCUGUGAUGAGACAGAUCUUGUUAUUCAUUAUAAUACAAUAGUGCAGAGUAGUUGAGCUCACACGGGAGUUGGUAACCAACAAUAUCACGUUUUUAACAAAAGGCCAAGGGUUCAAAGUAAUGAGUAGUUCUUGUUUGUCUAGAUAGUUAGGACGAGAGAUGAAACUUGAGGCAGCCUUCCAAUUGGUGGUUGGCAAAUUUGUUGCCUAGGUGACCUUCUAACUUGUCACGUGUCCUUAUUCAAGUAGGAGUAUAAUAAACUCAAUUUUUUAAAGAUGUAAAUUAGUUCAAUCUAAGUUAAACAAGUUAAUUAUAAAAAUUAAUUCACAAAACAUUUAUGUUUUAGGAUUAUUUCCCAAGAUAUUUAUGUUUCUUUUUCUUUUUGAAAGGUACUUAGAUGGCCUAUCAAUAAGAACUUUUUGAACUUUAAAUCCUAAUCUAUUUUUUUUAGACACUAAACUUUAAAUUAAAAUAUUUAAUUAACUUUUAAAGAGCCCACUUUUAAAACAAAAAAGCCUAUGAAAUAUUGAAACCUACGCAACAACCCUUUGAAAUAUAAUAAAAAGCCAUGACAUCACAUGCAUACAAAACUUAUAUAAAUUUAAAAUUUUUAAACACAGUUACGAAGUCAUAAAAAUACAAACAGUCUUUUAAUUAAAUAUGGUAGGUGCAUUAAUUAAAUCUCAAUGCCCACCGAAGUUGACUUAAAGGAGUUGAUAUAUAGGAUUGAUAAAUCAGUUUUUAUGGGCUAUUUUACCAAUCUAGCCUAAAAAAAUUUGAUAUUUACAAAAAUGAUAUUGAUUCAAAAACAUUUACUAAAAUAACUUGAAAUGUACAGUAAAAUUAAGUUAUGAGAAAUAGAUAGCAGACACCACUUUUUUCUAUUAAAAAAAUAAUUUUUGAGGUUUUAGACACUAGAUAUGUAACACCUCCUAACUCUAAACCGUCGUCGGAACAGGGUUAUGAGAUAUUACCGGACAUAUCAAAUAAUUUACAAAUAAUUCUUAAAUAAAUAACCAACAUAUUAUAAUAAUUCAAAAAUUCAUAUAAAUUUUACUAAUUGAUUUCAUUCAUUUUUUUUAUAAAAAUUUCGGCAUCAUUUCUGCUUAUUUUUACAUAAAACCCCCUGCAAAAUUUCAAAACAUAACUAACCCAAUUCCAAUAUUUCAAUCAAGGCAUUUAUAUACUUAAACCUCACUUGACAUAUUGACAUAACAACUUAAUUAAUAAAAAUCCUAUUAUCAUUUCUAAUUAACUCAUAAAACUAAUCAAGUCAUUUCAAUUCGAGACCAAUGCCAUAAAAGACUUCUACUAUUUUACUAAUAUAAUCAUCAAAACACAUAAUAUCUUACUUUACAAUAAAACUAUAUAACAUACCAAAAUAACUAUUAUAAUUCUUAUGUACAUGCCACUUUCAUUUAAGGAAGAAAACAUCAUAGAAAUCUCUAUGCAGGAGUCGAGAUUGACCUGGAUGCUAAAUCGAGACUCAGACCCCUUUUUCAAUCCGCGCACAGAAACAACCAUACGCUGAGUAUUUUACACUCAGUAGUAUUACCAUAAUUCAAAUUAUAAUAGCAAUAAAGAAUUAUAAUUACGAAGCAUGUAACUAUCCGAUUUCUUAAAUAUCAAUUAAUUCAUAAACUUUCAUUAUUUAACAAUAGCAAUACAAUUUUUUUUAGCUAUUCUUCAUUCUCAAUCACAUAUCACAUGUAGCAAUUUCAAUCACUACAUAAACAUUAAAUUCAUGCAUUUUAUUUUCAAUAUCAAUUUCAAUUUGAAAUUUUAAAUUUUCUCAUAUUCAAUAUCACAAUCGAUCAAAUUCAUUUAAUUUUCUCAUUUCAAUUAUUCACCCUAUUAACAAUCUGGACUUUGACGGAUACAUGGAUUCCAACCCAAACACACUAGUACAGCACAUUGUGCCUAAAACGGUACAUAGUACCUGAUCAGUAUACGACACAUAAGUGCCUGAAACGACACACGAGGUGCCUGAUACGACACAUAAAGUGCCUGAUCGGCAAAGCCGAUAAAUCCCGUACUCUUCCAAAUCCUAUGGCAUGCCAACUAUAUCCGACUUAGCCCGACUAGUUAAUAGGGUAUUCAAAUUCUCAAUUCUCUUUGAUUUUCAAUUCAAGAUCACUUUUCCACUUUCUAAUCAAUUAACAAUUUAAUAUCAAUACAUAUUUCAAAUAAUCACAUAUAAUCAUAUUUCAAUUCAAUUCAAACCACUUUUCAAUCAUUACACAAUUCACAUAUUCACACAUAUUCAUAAAUUAAUUCACUUUAUUUAAUUCAUUUUUUAAAUCCAUUUUUUAAUCAAAUUCAAAUCACUAAAUACUUUUUAAUCAAUAUACAUUUCAAAUACUCACAUAUUUCCAUCAUUCAAUUUAAUUUGAUUCAAUUCAAGUCACUAUUAUCAUUCCAAUUGCUUACCUAAUUUUACUUACCAUGCAUUUUAAUUAAAAUAUAACAAUUAAUAAUAAAUAGAUUUGAAUUAUAGUAAUACAAACCCGAAUUUGCUCGAUUAUUCCUCAACGACCUUCUUCUUCCCUUUUUGUGGCGAUACCUCGAAUUAUUUAUUAGCUACGAAAAUUAAAUAAUUAAAUAAUUAAUUACAGCACAAAUUUUACAAUAAAAAUAAAAUUUCUAUCAAAUUUUAUAUUUUAAUUCCAAUUUAAUCCUAACUAGAUUUAUCUACUUUUCUAAUCUAAUUCAUACUCUAUUUCUAUUCAAAUUUCUUAUAAACUCAAAUUUAUCUACUAAUUUUCAGCAUUUUUCACUAAUUUUGAAUUUUCCUCAAUUUAAUCCCUAAAAUUCAAAACUUAUAGUUUAGUUUAAAAUUCAAUCCUUUAUUCAAUUCCAAAUAAAAUUUCUAUUAAAUAAAUCCUCAAUUCCAUCAUUUAUUCAACAUAAACCCUACUCAAAAAUCUAUUAACUUUCAAAUUUUCAACUUAAAUCCAAGAGUAUUUCAUUCUAGGAUUCCAAAAACAUCAAAUUUAUGAGAAAAGGACUUGAUUUAGUUUACCUAUUAAACUUCAAGCUUCAAAAUCUCAAUUUUCCCCCUUUCUUUUCUUUCCCUUUUCUUCCCCUGUUUUCGUCUCUUUCUCUGUUUCUUUUCUGUUCUUCUUCUCUUUUUCUGUUCUUUUAUUUCAUUUGUUUUCUUU
rnacentral:lncRNA from 1 species